AGAGUUUGAUCCUGGCUCAGGACGAACGCUGGCGGCGUGCUUAACACAUGCAAGUCGAGCGGAAAGGCCCUUCGGGGUACUCGAGCGGCGAACGGGUGAGUAACACGUGAGCAACCUGCCCCUGACUCUGGGAUAAGCCCGGGAAACUGGGUCUAAUACCGGAUACGACGACCGUCCGCAUGGGUGGUCGUGGAAAGUUU
rnacentral:rRNA from 1 species